AACUGCUUAUCUGGGAUGUGUUUUGUCUUGAAAAUAAAACUAAAGUGUUCGAUUCACUUAGUAGUUU
rnacentral:tRNA from 1 species